CAUCCGUUUGUACUGGUCAAACUGAGCAAAGGAGGACUCGUUACUUCUGGACCCUGCAGAGAUAGGGUGUACAUUUUGGAAGGAUUUUGUUUGUGGUUUAAAGUUCACAUUGCUUUUAAAAAGAUAUUUAAUGUUGAGCUGAGAGGAACCUGACCACAGCGAUGUUCUCCAUCCUGAGGAAAUUCUGCUUUUUGAAAGAGCUGAAAAACCCUCUAACACUAACUCUUAUGACCCAGAAAAUGAAUUUCAUAAGCACUGUGCAUGGGAAACAUUGAAGUGACGCUUUGUCUAAUCCAUAACAAGAAGUUUCAUGUAAAUAAUGAGGACGAAGAGAAACGAACAACACUACAUGUGGAGAUAAAUGGGAUUCUAAAGGUGUUGUUGAACUUCUAUUGAAACAAGGCAUGGCUCACUUCUUAUGGAGUGCAUUUGGAUGAAGUGCACUGCACUAUGCUAGCAGCUCUUUAACUAGAGACUGUGCCACCCAAACUUAGAAAAUGCCUGAUGAAGCAAUUAUGGGUUGACAAUAAACUUGCUGAAGCUUUGGUCUUACAUUCCUCCUGCUCCAGAAGAUCCGGACAUGGACAUCUGUGUGAGCACAAGUGUCAAGAAGCUGAGAGCACAGAAAGCAUAGCUGAGCUCGCCUCACUCCUGUUGGCCACAGAGUGGGAAAGCUGGGGUUCUCCCAUCACCCGAUUUCAUCAGCCCCUCAUCUUUAGCCCAUAUGUUCUCACCAUUUCCUUGGGUCCUCAUCAUUUACUUGAAAAUCCUCCUUCGAUGGAGACGCAGCACCACUUUGAAUUUUCCUGUGCACACUGCUUCAUGAAAUUUAUUCUCUGCCUCAUAUGACUGUUGGCAUUCGUUAGUUCUACACUUACAGCAGAACAAGGUCUCUUUCACUACCUGGGCCGUCACAAUACCCCAAGUGGAUUUUCGGCUCCUUCUUAAAGCAGAAGAGCUUCCUCAGAGUGGAGAACAUUGCUGUGGCCACCCUCCCAUCAGUUCAACAUGAAAUAAUUUUACAAAAUGAACUUUUAACUAUUGACCGCCUAACAACCUGAGUCAAACUCCACGACUCCCACAAAUGCGAGGCUGUUAUUUGACCAGUCAAACAGAAGAAUUCAGUUAUGGAACCGCCAUUGCUAAGUAACAUUGGUAAAGAAAAGCAUGCUUGUUCUUCCUCACGCAUAACUGAUGGUUCAUUGAGCAAAUCAUGCUCACUGUGCAUGUGUGUGUGUGAUAAGUGUUGUGGUCUUCCUUAGGUUUAAUAUGUGCAUAUCCUGCAAAGUCUCCACUGAUCCCUCAGGGUUGGUAGAGUCCUGUUUUUCCACACAAUAUCUUGCUUAUUGCUUCUCUGGGAUGGAGGUGUGCAAUUAUUCAUUAUAACAUCCUUUUCUUGAGUUUGUUGCUGUUGUUAAUUUUUGCUUGUUUGUUUUUGUUUGCAUUUUCAUGAAGAGGUCACAGGUGGGGAUUUCUUAGUACUGAAAUGGAACUUCUCUCUUGACAUUUCUCUCUGGUGUUUUGGUUCUGUGCUCUUGGAAUUUUCAACAUAGUGAAACUUUUCUGAGCUCAUGAGUGAUGGUACACACCUUUAGGUGGCAGAGACAUAUAGAUUUCUGUAAGCUUGAGAUAAGCCUGGUCUUCUGAGCCAGAGUUGCAUAGUAAUAAUGUCCUCUAAAAUAGAUAUAAAAAAUUAAAUUUAACAUUAUUAUAACUCUAUGUGGAGAAAUUAUUGUCCAGCCAUGACUGCUAUGAUUUUGAAUAUUUUCUAUACAGCUAAGUUGAUAUAUUUCUCUAGAUAUGGGGAGAUUUUUAUUCUUAUUUCAAAGAACAUGCUUCCUAUGUACUGAGUAUCUCCACACUCUUUGCAACUCAGAUAUUUAUAUUUGGUAUCUGAGGUAUUUUAAUGAGAAUUUCCCCUACAGAUUCUGAUAUUUGAACACUUGGUUCCAGGUUGUGGUGCUAUUUGGGAAGAUUGUGGAACAUCUGGGAAAUGGAGUUUUGAAAAAAUGACAUCUAUCCAUGCAGACAGGUCUUGAAUGUUCACAAUCUCUGCCCACUGUUUUCUCUCUGCUUCCUGAAUGUGGUUGAGACGGAAUCUCUAUGUUUACUUUUCUUGGCUCCGUGUAUGCCAUUUGUUGCUGAGUCUCCCCAACAUGACAACACCUGUGUUUCUAGAAUUGGAAGCCCAAAUACACUUUCUUCUACAAGUUGCUUCUGGCAAUUACGUUUUAUCACAGAAACAGAAAAUUGACAAAUACAGUCUUUGAAUACCAGCAUCCCAGAGAUCUUGAAAGAUGCAGUUAUUACUUUUAAGUUAUUAGUGCCUUAAUGUAAUAAUACAUGUACCUUAGUAUCCAACCCUGUCUACUGGAUUCUUUCUAUUGCUGAUGCUUUUGACAGAAUUUCUUUGCUUUAUAUGUAGAGAUAGAUUUCCAUAUUAAAAACUGCAAAACUCAAACUCCCAAUGGUCAGCCACCUGAACAAGUAUAUAACAACACAAAUUAUCCUUGGUGUAUUUGGAGGGUUGGGACAAGUGUGGGAGAGUGAACCUAGGAGCCGUGGGAAGUUAGUGUGAUUGGGAUGCAUUGUAUGAGAUUCCAAGAUUAUCCAUAAAAAUAUUAUAUUGGAAAAAUUACAGCAAGUUUUCACAUUAGUUCUCCUGUAUUUCACAUCCAAAUUCUGGGUCCUUUUCCUUAUAUAUUCAGCUUUUUUGUGUGUCUUCAUUGAAACAAUGGAUGUUUUAUUUCUAAUUAUUUUAAAAUUUAUUUUUGUUACAGUUAUUCUGACAAAAUUUAAA